rnacentral:rRNA from 1 species
UGGUGGCGAGUGGCGAACGGGUGAGUAAUACAUCGCAACGUGCCCAGUUGUGGGGGAUAGCCCGGCGAAAGCCGGAUUAAUACCGCAUACGACCUGAGGGUGAAAGCGGGGGAUCGCAAGACCUCGCGCGAUUGGAGCGGCCGAUGUCAGAUUAGCUAGUUGGUGGGGUAAAGGCCUACCAAGGCGACGAUCUGUAGCUGGUCUGAGAGGACGACCAGCCACACUGGGACUGAGACACGGCCCAGACUCCUACGGGAGGCAGCAGUGGGGAAUUUUGGACAAUGGGGGCAAGCCUGAUCCAGCAAUGCCGCGUGC